rnacentral:rRNA from 1 species
GUGGGGAAUCUUCCGCAAUGGGCGAAAGCCUGACGGAGCAACGCCGCGUGAGUGAUGACGGCCUUCGGGUUGUAAAACUCUGUGAUCCGGGACGAAAAGGCAGAGUGCGAAGAACAAACUGCAUUGACGGUACCGGAAAAGCAAGCCACGGCUAACUACGUGCCAGCAGCCGCGGUAAUACGUAGGUGGCAAGCGUUGUCCGGAAUUAUUGGGCGUAAAGCGCGCGCAGGCGGCUUCCCAAGUCCCUCUUAAAAGUGCGGGGCUUAACCCCGUGUUGGGAAGGAAACUGGGAAGCUGGAGUAUCGGAGAGGAAAGUGGAAUUCCUAGUGUAGCGGUGAAAUGCGUAGAGAUUAGGAAGAACACCGGUGGCGAAGGCGACUUUCUGGACGAAAACUGACGCUGAGGCGCGAAAGCGUGGGGAGCAAACAGGAUUAGAUACCCUGGUAGUCCACGCCGUAAACGAUGGAUACUAGGUGUAGGAGGUAUCGACCCCUUCUGUGCCGGAGUUAACGCAAUAAGUAUCCCGCCUGGGAAGUACGAUCGCAAGAUUA